rnacentral:rRNA from 1 species
GUGGGGAAUUUUGGACAAUGGGGGCAACCCUGAUCCAGCCAUGCCGCGUGAGUGAAGAAGGCCUUCGGGUUGUAAAGCUCUUUCGGCCGGGAAGAAAUCGCAUGGGCUAAUACCCUGUGCGGAUGACGGUACCGGCAUAAGAAGCACCGGCUAACUACGUGCCAGCAGCCGCGGUAAUACGUAGGGUGCGGGCGUUAAUCGGAAUUACUGGGCGUAAAGCGUGCGCAGGCGGUUUUGUAAGACAGGCGUGAAAUCCCCGGGCUCAACCUGGGAACUGCGCUUGUGACUGCAAGGCUAGAGUAUGGCAGAGGGGGGUGGAAUUCCACGUGUAGCAGUGAAAUGCGUAGAUAUGCGGAGGAACACCGAUGGCGAAGGCAAUCCCCUGGGCCUGCACUGACGCUCAUGCACGAAAGCGUGGGGAGCAAACAGGAUUAGAAACCCCAGUAGUCC